rnacentral:rRNA from 1 species
GACAGAGGGUGCAAACGUUGUUCGGAAUUACUGGGCGUAAAGCGCGUGUAGGCGGCUUGGCAAGUCGGGUGUGAAAGCCCUGGGCUCAACCCAGGAAGUGCACUCGAAACUGCUUCGCUCGAGUAUCGGAGAGGAAAGCGGAAUUCUCGGUGUAGAGGUGAAAUACUUAGAUAUGACACAGAACACCGAUUGCGAAGGCAGCUUGCUAAACUAUAACUGACGCUGAGGCACGAAAGCAUGGGGAGCAAACAGG